GAGGAUGUAGCUCAGUGGUAGAGCACUUGUCUGGCAUGCAUGAAGCCCUGGGUUCAAUCUCCAGUACCUCA
rnacentral:tRNA from 1 species